UGGGGAAUUUUGGACAAUGGGGGAAACCCUGAUCCAGCCAUCCCGCGUGUGCGAUGAAGGCCUUCGGGUUGUAAAGCACUUUUGGCAGGAAAGAAACGUCAUGGGUUAAUACCCCGUGAAACUGACGGUACCUGCAGAAUAAGCACCGGCUAACUACGUGCCAGCAGCCGCGGUAAUACGUAGGGUGCAAGCGUUAAUCGGAAUUACUGGGCGUAAAGCGUGCGCAGGCGGUUCGGAAAGAAAGAUGUGAAAUCCCAGAGCUCAACUUUGGAACUGCAUUUUUAACUACCAGGCUAGAGUGUGGCAGAGGGAGGUGGAAUUCCUCGUGUAGCAGUGAAAUGCGUAGAUAUGCGGAGGAACACCGAUGGCGAAGGCAGCCUCCUGGGAUAACACUGACGAUCAUGCACGGAAGCGUGGGGAGCAAACAGG
rnacentral:rRNA from 1 species